rnacentral:rRNA from 1 species
ANCCAAUGUAUGCUUUGGAAACUGUUAGACUUGAGUGCAGAAGGGGAGAGUGGAAUUCCAUGUGUAGCGGUGAAAUGCGUAGAUAUAUGGAGGAACACCGGUGGCGAAAGCGGCUCUCUGNUCUGUCACUGACGCUGAGGCUCGAAAGCGUGGGUAGCGAACAGGAUUAGAUACCCUGGUAGUCCACGCCGUAAACGCUGAGUGCUAGGUGUUAGGUCCUUUCCGGGACUUAGUGCCGACGCUAACGCAUUAAGCACUCCGCCUGGGGAGUACGACCGCAAGGUUGAAACCCAAAGGAAUUGACGGGGGCCCGCACAAGCGGUGGAGCAUGUGGUUUAAUUCGAAGCAACGCGAAGAACCUUACCAGGUCUUGACAUCCCGAUGCCCGCUCUAGAGAUAGAGUUUUUCUUCGGAACAUCGGAGACAGGUGGUGCAUGGUUGUCGUCAGCUCGUGUCGUGAGAUGUUGGGUUAAGUCCCGCAACGAGCGCAACCCUUAUUGUUAGUUGCCAUCAUUAAGUUGGGCACUCUAGCGAGACUGCCGGUAAUAAACCGGAGGAAGGUGGGGAUGACGUCAAAUCAUCAUGCCCCUUAUGACCUGGGCUACACACGUGCUACAAUGGUUGGUACAACGAGUCGCAAGCCGGUGACGGCAAGCUAAUCUCUGAAAGCCAAUCUCAGUUCGGAUUGUAGGCUGCAACUCGCCUACAUGAAGUCGGAAUCGCUAGUAAUCGCGGAUCAGCACGCCGCGGUGAAUACGUUCCCGGGCCUUGUACACACCGCCCGUCACACCACGAGAGUUUGUAACACCCAAAGUCGGU